GAAAUGUGGAGCGUGCUGCUUUGCCCUACAUCACCUGGCAUAAAGCAAUCCUUACAGCGGAGCCAGAACGGCUUAGUGCUUGAACCACACGCAGGGGUCUUUCAGCGAGUGUAUAAAUUGCCUGAAACAGGCGAUAAAAACCCAGGAUGGGCGUACAAAAAUGGCGAGGCACAGCCUUACCACCACUGACAAAAACGGGUGCGAACCCAGAAAAAACAGAUGGAGCGCGUCACUUAGGCGCAAAACGCCAAAUCCCCCAUUCGUACCCAGAAGCUCUAGUGUACGCAAAAGAGCUCACCCAGGAGAGACGGGAGCGCUAUCAUACGGGAACGAUCAUGACGAUGCAAUUACGCAGACCGACGAGGGCACCUAAAAUCAGGCACACAUGGGCGAAGGAUAAGCCCUCACAACAACACACGUGAAACGCGGAACGCGAGGAAGUUGGAAGCGGUGUCUCAGAAUGGCCCGCCUGACCGCUCCCCAUGAUGAAGCCGCCGAUCAUGAAGUUUGGUAAGGCUAUUUACAUAAACAGCAAAAACAAAACCACGAGCAUACGGAAGUUUUCAUUUUUCCAGUAACUAUUUUUCUAUCUUGCUAUUGCGUCGGUUUACCACAGGAGAUAAGUAAUAAUUCCUAUUGUAUAUGUGAUUGCAUUCCUCAAUAAAUUCUUCAAGCGAAAUACCUCCGGAACGCAAUGUUAAGAACCGUUGCAUGAUAUUCAGUAAUUCCCUCACCCCACAAAUAACUGUCCGGCUCAUUAUUACUUAUUUUACCGCCUAUCCAAUUAUGUUAAUGCUCAUGAGCGAAGAGAAUAUAACAAUUUGUAUGCUUCAUGCAUUUCGGUAAAUAAGCUGUAAAACCAUCGUAUCCGCGGAUUGCUUGCGCCGCAUGACGUGCCUGGACAUGCUCGGCCCAAGGCCGAAGGCCCCAAGGCGAGGUGUCAACGGCAUAUACGCGACACCCACCCCCGGUCCACGGCGGCGGUCCAUGUUUUCCCGAGCAGAUGGUGGCAGUCUCCGGUCCACAACGGCUGCCGCAGCUGCGAUCAUAUCACGCACUGCGGUCGACUGCAGCGGCCCCAUAAACUCAAGGUGGUGUAGGACACGGCUCAUGCUGUAUCCCGGGGCGGCGAAAGAUCGGCCGAAAGUAGACAAUUGCAGUCGGGCCACUCUGUCGAGGCUUUCCAUCACUUCCUGCAGAGACACCUGUCUGUCCUGAAGGGUAGGCUGUUAGGCAAAACGUACCCCUAGCGUUUUGGCUGUUGCGACGACCCGAAAGCCCUCAGCAACAGCACCAACUGUGGGCUGGCCAUAGGGCCCAACCACCGCCGCGCC
rnacentral:lncRNA from 1 species